UUGCUAAGGCUGAUGGCGGCCGGCGCACGGGUGAGUAACACGUAUCCAACCUGCCGAUAACUCGGGGAUAGCCUUUCGAAAGAAAGAUUAAUACCCGAUGGCAUAAUAGAACCGCAUGGUUUGAUUAUUAAAGAAUUUCGGUUAUCGAUGGGGAUGCGUUCCAUUAGGCAGUUGGUGGGGUAACGGCCCACCAAACCUUCGAUGGAUAGGGGUUCUGAGAGGAAGGUCCCCCACAUUGGAACUGAGACACGGUCCAAACUCCUACGGGAGGCAGCAUG
rnacentral:rRNA from 1 species